CCUGUCAGCGGAAAAAACAUUUUACAUUACCAUAUGUAACCUAAAUAAAACUAUAAGUAAACCAACAACCCAAAACGUAAUAGAUAUUUUCUAUACAUGACUUGGCGCACCACAUUUGGAAUAUUCAACCAAGAAUUAGUAAAAUUAAACAAGUCGUUCAAAAAAGGGUGCAUACCGAUACCGCUGUUUGAGGUAUCGCUGGUAUCGAAUACCGAGUAUCGCCCUUCACUAUUGACGCUCGGUAUCGUCAUCGGUAUCUCUCGGUGUCGCCCAUCACCACUGACAAACUAGUCAGUAGGAAAUAGGAGUUAAGAAACCGAUUUUGAAUGACAUCAUUUACUAUAUAUUUUUCAAUUUGAAAAUUAAAAGCCAUAAUUCACAUUCUUUUGCAACCAUGUUCGUC